CUCUUCAGACAUCGAUGAGUGCCAAGAUACACCUCAGGUUUGUGGCAGCAACGCCAGUUGCCUCAACACCAUUGGGAGCUUCCACUGCCAGUGUCAACCUGGGUUCAGAUUCUCUCAUCUUGUGCACUACUGAUGGAAAGUCCAAUAUCAAGUUAUCUGAUGAGUUUACCAAUGAUUUUGUCACGUCUGCUCCUGCUCCCCCUCUCUGACGCUCGAGGUUGCCAGGCGGCUCAUCAUUACUCACACCUCUCCCCAUCGUUACGCGCCCCAGCACUUCAUCGGACUCACCUGGUCUCCAUCACGUCAUUGAUUAUCUAUCCUAUAUCUGUCACCCAUCCAGUUCAUUUUACACAUCUGCAUUGAUGUUGCAUUGUUUCUCCUGUCCAGAAGCUCUUACUGGUUUUCGUGUCUGUUAAUCCAUUAAAUAUUCAUUCCCUGUACUUACUUCUCGUCUCCCAGCGUCUGGCAUCACAGAGCCAUUACAGAUUGUGUACAUUUCCUUUUUAAAGACUUGCUGAGGCAUUUAACAGUUAGUGAGACUGUAGUAAUAUACAGUAUAAAGAUACCUGGAUCCGGCUGUUUUUCAGUUUAUUUUUAUUUAAAUUGAACCUUUAUUUGACUAGACAAGUCAGUUAAAAACAAAAUGUUACUUACAAUGAUGCCCUAGGAACAGUGGGUUAACUGCCCUGUUCAGGGGCAGAACAACAUGUAUCUUGUCUUUCAGCUCCGGGGAUUCGAUCAAGCAACCAUUUGGUUAUUGUCCCAAUGCUCUAACCACUAGGCUACCUGCCACUAGGAUACCUAUCUCCUCUCUUGGGUCGGGGGUAGUAUUUUUACCUCCUGAUGAAAAGCAUGCCCAAAGUAAAUUGCCUGUUUCUUAAUCCCAGAAUUUAGGAUAUGCAUAUAAUUAGUAGAUUUGGAUAGAAAACACUCUAAAGUUUCCAAAACUGUUAAAAUAAUAUGCCUGUGAGUAUAACAGAACUGAUAUGGCAGGUGAAAACCUGAGAAAAAUCCAUCCAGGAAGUGGAAUUGUUUUCAUGUGGCUGUUUUUCAUUUAAAUAGUUUGUCUGGUUUCAGGCUUUUAUUUUGAAAAACGACGUGUUAAAAGCCAUUUCAACAGUUUUAACAAUAGUUAUCACAGUGUCAUACAAGGAGGGAAAAUGUUGCUGUCUGAAGAGGUAGCAUUGAAUUGUACACAGCAUCUCCUCUCACUCUAUCUUGGUUCGUGCAGGUGACUGUGACCACCUCCUCAGACCAAUUGACAAUACGCCCAGAACAUUGUUCUGGGAACCAAAAUGAGUAUCUCAGUUUCAAGGUUUUCAAGAGAAGAACCCUUGAGUAUCUCAGUUUCAAGUUUUGAGAGAAGAACCCUUGUUAGUUAUCAGUCAGUCAGUCACUUGCAGGAACCAAUUUUGCAUAAUGAAUCAUGUAAAUCAUGCUAAUAUGAAUUGUGUGGAUAGCCGUAUAUUAGAGAACUAACGGGACUGUCCCGGCAGAGCUCCUGACCGAUGUGAACUAUGCAUGAAGUUUGUUGGAACCUCUCCAGCUUGCUGAUAAUAAAGAGUGAUUCAUUUAAGUUUGA